rnacentral:rRNA from 1 species
UACAGAGGUCCCAAGCGUUGUCCGGAAUCACUGGGCGUAAAGGGCGCGUAGGUGGCUCGUGAAGCGUGCGGUGAAAGUCCGAGGCUCAACCUCGGAUCGGCCGUGCGGACUCGCGGGCUGGAACGUUGUAGAGGCGGGUGGAAUUCCGGGUGUAGCGGUGGGAUGCGUAGAGAUCCGGAAGAACACCAGUGGCGAAGGCGGCCCGCUGGGCUGUGGCUGACGCUGAGGCGCGACAGCGUGGGGAGCAAACAGG